GCCGUGAUCGUAUAGUGGUCAGUACAUUUCGUUGUGGCCGCACUAACCCAGGUUCGAAUUCUGGUCACGGCA
rnacentral:tRNA from 1 species